UAAUAAGUGUUUUAUGGCACUUUUUAAAUCCAUAUCCACCUUGUGUGCAAUGUCAGUCGAUCUUCUUCAUGGAGAUCGACCAAACAUCAACCUUUAUCUUUUAACUCUUUGUCUGAAAUAAUAUUAUGAAUAAACAAUUCAAAAUA
rnacentral:misc_RNA from 1 species